GACGAACGCUGGCGGCGCGCUUAACACAUGCAAGUCGAGCGAGAACCGGAGCUUCGGCUCCGGGGACAGCGGCGAACGGGUGAGUAACACGUGAGUAACCCACCCUCGGUACCGGGAUAGCCCGGGGAAACCCGGAUUAAUACCGGAUGGCCCGCCGGCCCUUUGGGGCCUGCGGAAAAGGUAGCUUCGGCCUCCGACCGAGGACGGGCUCGCGGCGGAUUAGCUUGUUGGUGGGGUAACGGCCCACCAAGGCGACGAUCCGUAGCUGGUCUGAGAGGACGAGCAGCCACACUGGGACUGAGACACGGCCCAGACUCCUACGGGAGGCAGCAGUGGGGAAUCUUGCGCAAUGGGCGAAAGCCUGACGCAGCGACGCCGCGUGCGGGAAGAAGGCCCUCGGGUUGUAAACCGCUUUCAGGAGGGACGAAGCCACUCGGGUGAAUAGCCCAGAGGGUGACGGUACCUCCAGAAGAAGCCCCGGCUAACUACGUGCCAGCCGCCGCAGUAAUAC
rnacentral:rRNA from 1 species